AGGAGAGGGAGGAGAGGGAAGAGAGGCAAGAGAGGGAGGAGAGGGAAGAGAGGGCGAAGGCAGAGGCGAUUAAGGUUGCCGUAGCCUUGUGAAUGAAAAUUGUGCUCAGAGCAGUAAACUGUUGUCUGCCAGCCUGGAGCAAAUAGAAGAGCAAACUACUGACUCAUGAAGAAGCUGAGAUUUCUGAACUCGAAUGGACAACCUGACCUUCCAUUGUCUGCCUUUACUCAAAAUGUCUCUGAUCAUAAAAGAAAACUCUUCAUAUCAA